ACAACCUGAUGAAAAACCUGGUUAUAAAGUUGGUUCAUUUGUCUUAUACUUUCGUUGAAAUGAGACAAGACCUGACUGGUUUUCUUAAGGAGAAGAAAAUGGAGAUGCGUCGGAGAAGACUGGUUUUAAGCUCGCCGCCAGCAUGAUGAAGAUCAGGUUCUCAAUCGGACUCGGAUUAGGCAUCGCUGCUCUCCUUCUUGUUGGCCUCUUCUUUCUUCCUCAGUCUUUGGAUUCUCAUGGUGAGCUAAGUGUUGUUUCCACUGUCAUUACUGCUUUCGCAAGUGCAGGUGAUCUAAAUACUUUCUCCAGUGUUGAAUUUUGAUAACCAAUCUUUGUUUUUCUUUUGUGUGUGUGUGUUCAGGACAUUGACAGAAGCCGAGGAGCCAGAAGAUAUCUUUCAGGUCGAUAAAGGCAAAGCUUCAUGGAGAUCUAGAGGCUAAGUCCCUUGGUGCUCCUGGAACCUGUGUUGCUGAAUUGGUAUUUAACACUUCCUUGACAGGUUAGAGGCGUGGAUCUUAGAUGGGGUUGGUGUCGAGCAAGAUGGAAGAGAGGAGAUGGAGUUGGUUCAGAAGCUAGAAAAGAGAGAUAGAUGAGAAGCUUGAUGGUGGUGGAAGACCAGAAAUGUUAGGGAUGACUGUAAAGGAUUAUUAGUGGUAGAUUGAGACUAUGUUUGUUAGGUUUUGAUGGUUUAAGUAAACAAGGAUAUGUUUUAUGGUUUUGUA